AACGAACGCUGGCGGCAGGCUUAACACAUGCAAGUCGAACGCCCCGCAAGGGGAGUGGCAGACGGGUGAGUAACGCGUGGGAACAUACCCUUUUCUACGGAAUAGCUCUGGGAAACUGGAAUUAAUACCGUAUACGCCCUACGGGGGAAAGAUUUAUCGGGGAAGGAUUGGCCCGCGUUGGAUUAGCUAGUUGGUGGGGUAAAGGCCUACCAAGGCGACGAUCCAUAGCUGGUCUGAGGGGAUGAUCAGCCACAUUGGGACUGAGACACGGCCCAAACUCCUACGGGAGGCAGCAGUGGGGAAUAUUGGACAAUGGGCGCAAGCCUGAUCCAGCCAUGCCGCGUGAGUGAUGAAGGCCUUAGGGUUGUAAAGCUCUUCCACCGAUGAAGAUAAUGACGGUAGUCGGAGAAAAAGCCCCGGCUAACUUCGUG
rnacentral:rRNA from 1 species